rnacentral:lncRNA from 10 species
UGCACACCCAAUAGGCCCUAAGAUAACUUCUAAGAGAAUAGGAUUCCUUGGAAAAAACAGAGAAGGUGCGAUGAACCCCAUUUUGGAGGGGAAAAAACCCCUCUUUUUACCUCAUGGAACCCUAGGAAUUAAAAGCAGAUAGACCCCUCUCAAAAUCUGUUUUUGUCUUCCAGCUAUGCCUGUUUAUUAGGCCCUAGAAACUGCAUGUUUUCCUAGCCCUCCUUUUUGAAAGGCUCCACCCUGAGGUCCAUAAUCCAAUUAGGAGAUUGGCAAAUGAAAAAUAUUUCAACUACUGGAUCUUCUUAUGUCUGUCUUUGUAGUCAUAUAUGUGUUAUGUGUGUGAUGUGUAUAUAAAAAAGAGCUCUAAUUAAUUGGCUUAGAGAAAAAUAAGCACUUAGAUCAAAUUUUUUUGAAGGAAAAAUAAGAGCUAUACUGCCUUUUAUUUCAUGUGAUUUAAUCUUUGAGAAAUAAAAAUGGUUCUACUUUGGGAGGCCGAGGCGAGCGGAUCACGAGGUUAGGAGAUAGAGACCAUCCUGGCUAACAAGGUGAAACCCUGUCUCUACUAAAAAUACAAAAAAUUAGUCAGGCGUGGUGGUGGGCAGAUGUAGUCCCAGCUACUUGGAAGCUGAGGCAGGAGAAUGGCGUGAACCUGGGAGGCGGAGCUUGCAGUGAGCUGAGAUUGAGCCACUGCACUUCAGCCUGGGCGACAGAGCGAGACUCCAUGUCAAAACAAACAAACAAACAAAAAAACAGUUCUAAAGAUUACUGGUAAGAUACAAAUGUCUUCGAAAUGUACAUAUGCGAUCUAAAUUAUGCAGGUCAGAUACUAGGUUUGCUAAAUGUUUUAAGGUUGUAAACUGCUUCUUUAGUUUUUCAGAACUGGUCAAUUUACCCGCUUCGCAAUUUGGUAAGGCUUAGGGAAAUAUAGAAUUAACCACACCCCAAACUAUGUUGGAAAGAGUCAGACUUUAUCUGCACCUAGUAUAUAAUUGAAAUAACUUAUCAGAUUUUACAUUAAAAUUUAAAAUUGCUCAGAAUUACCAUUAUAACAUGUAAUUGAGACUACUGAAAAUAGAUCUACAUGCAAGUUGUGUGAGAGAAGUAAAAUGUGUUUUUAGAUAAAGAUUAUAAAAAGGCAUGGGAAUGUAAAUUUUUGUCUAGUUUAGAGGGUUAGAGGAUUGUUUUAAAUUAGAUAAGAUAAAGCUAAAUGUUUAAAUAAGUUGAGAAAACUUUGCAAAAAUUAAUGUUGUAAAAGAAAUUCUGUGUGUGAACAUAUUAACAAAAAUUUGUAAAGGAUUAUCAAAGGUUUAUAAGACUCUCACCUCAUGGUCAAACUGAUUAAGAUAGGAUAAAAUUAUCUAUAAAGUCUCAUUUAAAAAAUGGGGUUGACAUUAAUAGUAGACUCAUGCAAGAGUAAAAUUUGGCCUUCUCUCUCUUGAACAGGAUUUUCAUGUAAUUUUAAAGACAGAUUGUUUGGAAUCAAGUCUUUCUUCCUAAUGAAUAAAAGUUUUGCCUUGUUUUAAAAUUUUUGAGUCAACAUUUUGGCUAAAAUAAAUGACUUAUGGUAAUGCAGACUUCUAUUUCAUAAUAUCAAGUGUUUUAAAAUUUUAACCUGUUUGGUAGCCUUCCCAAAAUAAAAAUUCAUCUUCAAAAAUUGUCUUCUCUGACCCCUAACUUUUGAAUUCUACAGAGGUCCCUUGGAGCAUCCAAAAGAGAGGAAAACAGGAUUAUUUGAUAUGUUUAGUUACAUGGGAUUGCCAAAAUAAAAAUAAAGUUUAAUAUUCAUUAGGUUAUAUAAUAGAAGAUUAAUGUAUGUUCCAAAAUUGUAUGAAAUUUCUAAAAUUCUAAUGUCUUAGUAUAUAGUAUCAAUCAUAAUUUAGGUUCUUGUGUUAAGUUAUUGUAAACCACAGAAAUAAUCAAAUUUCUAUGUCAAUCAUGUUUUUGAUUGUCACCACCCAUAGACAUUAUGUCACUCACAGACAAUUGUUGUCUUGUUUUCAUCCUUUUCAAAAGACAGUUUAUAAUCAGCUAUAGGACUUUGAUUGGUGCUCUCAAAUGCAAGUUUCUAAUAACUUUGGAGAUUGUGAUGAUGGAACAGAGGAAAAACAUAUAAUACUCAUGAAGAGCUAAAAUGUUCAUGAAUAUCAACCCGAACAAGAGUUAAUGGAAUGGACUGAACUAAUAUAAAACUGAAAUAAUCUUUUUUAACUUUUUCUUAAAAUCUUGCUGAUUCUUGUUUUGUUUUUCAGAGUCAAGGAAAGUUUUCUUUUGAACUAUCAAGAGUUUUUAACAAUUAAGUUAUUUUCCUGUGAACAAAAUUUGGAGCAUAUUUGUUUCUCUUGGCCUGGCUUCUCCAGAAUUUCAAAACUAUUUAUGAGUAUUCUUAACUUAUGGCAAUAUAGUUAUUUGCAUCAGUGCAAUAAAAAUCUAUUUUCCUCUGCAGCAGGACACAAUUGGAGAAACUGGUAGUUUUACCAAGGCUCUGACUGGAAAGGUGUGCUUUCCUUUAAGGAAUCAAGCUUGACUUGCAGAGUCAAUAAAAACCCCUGGGGAAAACUGGCCUCACACCUUGUCUUCACAGUUUUGGCAUAGGGUUGCAAGCCUGUGGUAAGUAAAGAAUGUCACUUUCUAACAGGCCCAGGAGCCACUUGUUAUCUUGAAACCUCAAGAAGAGAGGAAUUUACCCAACUCAUAUUUAUUUGAGGGUACAAGCCCUUGUGGGCUCAGCUUUAUCUGAGAUUCCUUGUGGAACAGAGUUCCAUCAAAGCCAAUUUAAAAAGUCUAUGUGAAAGAUAGUUAUUCUUGCCACACUUUAUGUGAAUAAUCAGGUCAAGCAUAAGACUAAGGUUUAUUUUACAAACAACACAUUCCUAUAAUGAUUUGUUUUUAGCAAAACUGAGGAUUGGAGAGAGAAAAUUAUGUUUCAAAACUUAUAUGCUUGUCAUUAAAUUCUAGUCUCAUUACUUGUUUUUAAGUUUUUGCCUACAUUUUACACUAAUGAUGCUUAUUCCUGUGAACCAACCAGUGAUCUACAGCUGCAGCUCAGGAGAAAAACAAAAGGGAUAGGUAAUGUAAAAAUCUGGAUCAAUAUUCUAGUUCUGAGCCAUUAUUCUGCAAAUCUUGCCAGGUAAUUGAAGUAAACAGGAUGCCCAUCACCCAGAGGUUUCUUUGGGAAAAUAAGACAAAGGGAGCUAACCAAAGCCAAGUCCUAUGCACCCAAAUCUUAGUAGGCUUAACUAUAGCCACCAGUUAUCUGUGCAUAAAAGCAGUCUCGGGAUUUUUGAGCUGUCCCUACCCCUGCCUUGUUUUGUUUUGAUACAUAUCUUGUAAUAACCUGGUUUGUCUCUUCUGGCCUUCAGGCAGUCAUACUCCAAACAGUCAUGAAACCAGAGGUUCAAACAAUGGCUCCCUUUUACAAGGGAACCUUAGAUGGGCCUCUGAGGGAAAUCUGACUGCUGUAUUCCCAAAACAGUGACCCCUGUCAACAGGAAGCCAUUAAGACUGGUCUUUGUCCCUAUUCUAAUGGAAGUUAGAUGUACUUCUUCAGAGGGGGAAAUGAUAGAGGCAGGAGGCAGACAAAUGUCUAGGCAGAUAGGGGCAUGUAUCUGGUGAAACUCCACCUCCAAGCCAAAGACAGUUUAAAGCCUGAAAGCCAAGCUGCAAGCUAAAUCCUCAGACAGGAUUAAGAACCUGUCUUCCCUUUUGGCACACUUUCCUCUGACUGAUCCUUACUUUCCACCUAUUUUACAUAGACUUACCCUUUCCAUAUUGUUGUGCCCAGCUUUCAGUGUUCCCUUCACUUUAACCUUUUUUGCCUACUCACAAACCAAUCAGCAUGCAUUUCUCAUCCUGCACCUUUAAAGACCCAAGACUCAGUCAGUAGAGGAGGAGACAGCCUAACUUUGGGGAAGAUGACCUGCCCUUCACCUGUUUCUCCAGCUCCCCUCUCCACUGAGAGCCAUUUUCAUCACUCAAUAAAUUUAUCUGCCUUCAUCCAUGUGGCUUAAUGAUCCACAUAACCUUACCCUUCUUGGACACAGGACAAGAGCUUGGGGCCCCUGAGUGUGGGUACCCAGAUAGGGCUAUCACACUGACCCUUUGCCUUUGUCAGUGGAGGGCAGCUGCCCCAUGGGAUGAGACAAGGGGCCAACAGAGCUGCUAACAUACUGCCGUCUGUUGGACUGUGGACAGGGAAAGUAAAUGAGCACUGUAACAACCUCUCCAGUCUCUUUGGGGUCAUUGGCAUCCUCACCUGGGUGCCACUGCAUUCCCCUUAAGGCAACAUGCCUAGUCUGACUGUGGGCCCUACACAGAACUUGCUUCUAUGUUUGCUGGAUCCCACACUCACUUGCUCAUGUACUCUCUCCCACAAGGGGCUGAGCACAGUGGACCAAGUGAACGGGGCAACCUUGCCACGAGUCCAGUGAAGGAGCUGAGAAAAAUCCUGCAUCAGUACUUAAUAGCCAUAUCAGCACAGAUUAAACUUCAGUUUCUACCUAAGGAUCUUAUAUGUCUCAGCAGCUCUAUGACGGAUUCUCU